GAUGAACAGUAAACAUUUUUAUUAGUGUCCAAUUUCAGUUCCGAAUUUAUUAUAAAUACGGCAAGGACAAGAAUCAUCGACUCAAAUCAGCCAAUAAUAUGAUAGGACUGGCUUCACGAGUAUGUACAAAAGCCACGGUAUCGACGUCCAGUUGUUUAAUAUCAUCAUGAAAGCUGCUGUCUUUGGAUCGUCUUUUGUCUCGCGUCUCGGAAGAUCUACCGAAGCAGACCCGAGAAUAAAAUAUUUUGGAGUUGGUGACAUGACAGCAAAGGAGCCAAAUCAAACCUGCCUGCAAAACCUGCUUCAGUAUUCCCCUGAUCGAGUUUUCAUUCAUCUCGGUGGAAACGACAUUAGCGUUGACGGACAACCUAGGAAGGUGGCUGAAAACGUCCUACAACUGGUGCAGGUCCUAGAAGACAGCGGAGUUGGAACUGUUCUCGUGGGACAGAUUCUAGACAGAAAUAAGAAGACCUAGGGGAGGGGACUCACCCCCACCCCCUCUAAAUCCUCAACUGCAUAGAUAUGUAGACUUCUUUAUAUUUUGAAUUAAGGUAUGCCAUGUAUAAUGAAAGGAUAAUGAACAAUUUUGAAGGAUUUAGAUCAACAUAAAUGUUUAUUGUCAAAUAAUGAUGAAAGUGAAGCAGAUGAAAUUCACAUGACUGGUGAAUGAUUCGAAGCUGACAUUUUUGCACUUAAGACUUUUUAGAAGAGUUGUCUGCCCUUUGUAUAAAUAAGAAAAAUCUAAUUUUCUAAAAAUGUGUGAGGUCAAUGAUUAAUUUUAUUUCAUAUCUUCAUUAAGAGAAAGUGUAUGUAACUUUCUACCAAGAGAUUUGUAUGAAACUAUAACUUCUUUUUAAAAUAUUGUAAUAAAACAUGCUUCAUAUUUUGUCAGAACUGACUAGGGUAUGGUCUGUAAAAGUUGCACAAGGUGCAAAUGGGUGGCGGUUUGAUUUGAACUAGAUAAUUUAAGUGUAGUUUCAGAAUUCGGGAGAGAAAAAAUGGGGAAAAUAAUUAUUUUGAAUUAAUUAUGAGCGUCGGUGUCUGGGGUCGCUCUUCAGAAUGACCGUUUCAUAUUUUGUCAGAACUGACUAGGGUAUGGUCUGUAAAAGUUGCACAAGGUGCAAAUGGGUGGCGGUUUGAUUUGAAAUAGCUAAUUUAAUUGUAGUUUCAGAAUUCGGGAGAGAAAAAAUGGGGGAAAUAAUUAUUUUGAAUUAAUUAUGAGCGUCGGUGUCUGGGGUCGCUCUUCAGAAUGACCGUUUCAUAUUUUGUCAGAACUGACUAGGGUAUGGUCUGUAAAAGUUGCACAAGGUGCAAAUGGGUGGCGGUUUGAUUUGAACUAGAUAAUUUAAGUGUAGUAUCAGAAUUCGGGAGAGAAAAAAUGGGGAAAAUAAUUAUUUUGAAUUAAUUAUGAGCGUCGGUGUCUGGGGUCGCUCUUCAGAAUGACCGUUUCAUAUUUUGUCAGAACUGACUAGGGUAUGGUCUGUAAAAGUUGCACAAGGUGCAAAUGGGUGGCGGUUUGAUUUGGAAUAGCUAAUUUAAGUGUAGUUUCAGAAUUCGGGAGAGAAAAAAUGGGGAAAAUAAUUAUUUUGAAUUAAUUAUGAGCGUCGGUAUCUGGGGUCGCACUUCAGAAUGACCGUUUCAUAUUUUGUCAGAACUGACUAGGGUAUGGUCUGUAAAAGUUGCACAAGGUGCAAAUGGGUGGCGGUUUGAUUUGAAAUGGCUAAUUUAAGUGUAGUUUCAGAAUUCGGGAGAGAAAAAAUGGGGAAAAUAAUUAUUUUGAAUUAAUUAUGAGCGUCGGUGUCUGGGGUCGCUCUUCAGAAUGACCGUUUCAUAUUUUUACUUCACACAAUCCGGAAAAAAAAUUUACUUGAAUUACAUGUAAUGCAUUAAGAGAAUUACACAAUUUGAAUUUAUUUAAUACUAAUAAUAAUGCUUUGAUUAGAUAAUGUACAAGAAAGUGGUAGUUAAAACAAUUAUGGGGGUCACUAUUCAUGGUGUAGAAGGUAAUUUGAAAACAGCAAAAUAACAACUUUAUUAUUUUCAAUGGAUCCAUAAUAAUAAAAAAAAUUCAGCACAGCAUGGAAUUCUGAUUGGCAAGACAUUCUUGAAAACUUUGGUUUAAAACUUUUGUUUUCACCUUUUGAGCACUGACCUUUUCUUCAUUAUUGUUCAGGCCAAAUAAAAACAUGUGUGGUUACAGUUAAACGACAGUCCAUAAUUUUUACCCCCGACCCUCAACUAUCUUUCUUUUCCGGUUUUUAAUAUUUCCUAAAUUCGUUACCAUAUACGAAUAGAAUACACGCCUUUUUCAAGAUUUUCUUUUAUGAGAAGGGUUGACUUUAUUUACCACUAUAUAUAGGUUUUUGGCCCACUUUCCUUCAGGUGAAGCUUUAAGUUCUUUCAUAGCCAAUAUAUAGAUACCGCUCAAAUGCUAAGCUGUAAACACUUACAACAGGCCAUCUAACGUUAGACAGAGAGUGACAUAGAACUAAAAAAAAUGCUUAAACACACAACUGAGCUAUCACCCUACUUAUUUUUGAAACAGUAAGAAAGAUAUAAAAACUUGGAAGGGUUUGAAAACUGUAACCUGGGUGAAAUAUGACAACAUGAUUUUGGCAAAUGCACUGAUUUUGUUCUGCAUUUUUAUUUUUUAAAAAUAUAUAUAUAAGUCUUAGAAUUGUAAACACUAGGGUGAUCCCUACCAAUUUUGAUAAAUAUAUGUAAAUGGUAUAUGCAAGGAAGUGACGAUAAAAGGAAACUGUUUCCAUCUUAAGUCUAUAAUAAAAAAAGAAAUUAAAUAUCAUUCCUACAUACCAACACUAUAUUUCAAGGGAUUGUAACUGAAACCACACAUAGUAUUUUAUUUCGUCUCUUCAUUUUGGCUUUCUAUAACAUUUAUUUUUAUUCAUUCCAAAUUAGAUCAUACUUUUUACAUUAAGCACUGAAAUUUUUUAAAGCUUCAUUAUAAUUGUUAAUGUUUUGUUUUUACUUACUAAGAAAAUUUCAGGACUUUAUUUUUCAUUUGGGUUUAAAUUUUUAUUCAAAAUUAU